rnacentral:lncRNA from 1 species
CCGAAAUACUCAAAAAAGCCUAAUUUUCUAUAAUGCUGCGUUUGGUUCGGGUAUAAAUAAAUACUAUUUAUUUCAGAAAUAAAUAUAAGUUCAGGUAUAAGCAGAAAUUAGAUCAAUUUUAUGUUUAGAUGAAAAUUAAGUUGCUCCUACGAAUAAGAUAAAUAGUGUUUGGAUGGUUAGAUUGGAAAAAAGAUAAUAAGAGUUAUAAUUUUAAAUUAAAAUUAUUUUAUUUAAUUAAUUAACAUCACAAUAUUAUUUAAAAAUAAUUUAAUAAAUUAAUAAAUUUAUUAGUUAUGAUUAUUGUAUAAAAUAAUAAAAAUAUAUUAAUUAAUUAAUUAAAUAUAAAAAUAAUUUAAUUUUUUAAUUAGUUACUAAAUUAUUUUAGCUAGAUAACUAGUAAAAAAAAUUAAUUAGAUUAAUAAAAAUAUUAAUGGUUGAUCAAUAUAAAUAUUAGUUUAUGAAUAAAUACAUUAAAUUAUCAAUAGUUAAUUAUAAAUAAUAAAUAAUUUAAUUAUUUUAUUAUUUAACCAAUAAAUAAUAAUUUAAAUAUAUUAAUUAGAUUAAUUAAUAAUUUAAUACCAUAAUUAACAUUAAAUUUAAACUUUAAUUAACAUUGUUUCUACUUGGGAACAAGCUUAUUCCAGAAAAAAAUGGUGGAAUAGCAGUUUCAGCCUUAUACCAGCUUAUUUUAAAAAUUUGAAAAUUACUGUUCUCGAGUACCAAAUACAGCGUUUGGGAACAAAGAAGGGAACAACCCGGCAUUUGGGUUCGAAAUUGUCCAUCGAUGUUGAUUAUAGAUAAUGCAUAUUUUUCUUCGCUUCUUCUGUGAUAGCAAUAUUUGAUAAUAAAAAUAACCCUGUAUGACUAAAAUCAGUUGAAGAGAAAUAUCGCGUAUCACGCAUAAAAGAUAUAUCUAUAUCUGUACUACUUUAAUAAUUAU